CAAUAACAUUGUCUGACCACAGUCCAAUUUUGUUGAAACUAUCGCUGACCAAGAAAUUAAGACCCUUUGUAAGUUGGAAGAUGAAUAAUAAAAUACUUUAAUGGUCAGAGACUAAAUAUCUAAUUGAUUCUGCAUUGAAUGAAUAUUUUACUAUGAAUGAUACUCCCGACAUCAUACUGGAGUACCUUUGGUUAGGUCACAAAGCAGUAAUUAGAGGCAAAUUUAUAUCUCAUGCAUCAUAUGUAGCUAAACAAAAAAAGAAAGAGCUGAACUCAACUAAUAGAACUUGAAAGAGUAUAUAGAACUAGACCUUAAGAAAAU